rnacentral:lncRNA from 1 species
AUUAAAUGAGGAUCUGGUAGGUGCAAAGCUUUCUGCUAACACCUUCAGCACCUUGCAUUCUUUAUUUUCUCAUUUAUCUCUUGGCAUUUUGUUGUUGCCCGUAUCCCCACGACCCACGAAUCCAGAGAGUCUCGCUCUGUUGCCAGGCUGGAGUACAGUGACGCAACCUCGGCUCACUGCAACCUCUGCCUCCCGGGUUCAAGCAAUUCUCCUGCUUCGGGAAGGAAAGAAGGAAGGAAGGAAAGAAGGAAAAGACAGAAAGAAAAAGAAGGAAAAGACAGAAAGAAAAAGAAAGAAAGAAAGAAAGAAAAGAAAAGAAAGAAAAGAAAGAGAGAGAGGGAAGAGAGAGAAGGGAGGGAGGGAGAGAGAGAGACAGGAAGGAAGGAAGGAAGGAAGGAAGGAAGCAAGGAAAAGAAAAGAGAGAGAGAAAGAAAGAAAGAAAAAGAAAGAAAGAAAGGAAGAAAGAAAGGAAGGAAGGAAGGAAGAAAGAAAGAAAGAAAGAAAGAUUGAUUUUAAGGAAUUGGAUCACACAGUUGUGGAGGCCAGCAGAUCCAAAGUCUGCAGAGUCCAGAG